AUUCCUUUGGGGGUAGGUGAUGUAGGGCACAGGAGUGGGGCUGGGGCUGGGGAGUGGCAGGGGUGCAGGCAGGAAACAGUCUCCUGAGGCCCGGCAUAGGAAAGCGAUGGAGGUGUAAGGAGGUUGGGGAUAGGACGCUGGUGAAUUGUGGUUCCCAGAGGGAGGAACAGGCACAUUUACAGGUGUACAGAACAAGAGGCCCUGACAGGGGGGGUGGGUGGGUGCAUUUGUGGCCUUGGGCCCAAGCAGGCUUCUCUGGGUGAGGGCUGGCAGUGCCUCCCCUUUUUUCCAGCUCACCCCUUUCACGCACAUAACCCAUUUUGUUACCCUGACAAAGGGAUAAGCCCUAGAGAGGAAGAAAUAAGCCCUAGAGGAGGAAACAGUGAGCCUGGAUGGGUUUUUUGGGGGAAGGCUGGCAGGGGCAUGGAGCCAGGAAACAGCCUUUGCCUCCAUAGCACUGGGUACCCCAAGAAAAGUGAGAAGAGAGAUUGCAGCCCAGGUCCCUGCAGAGGAGGAUGGGCUCCUUUCCCAGGAAGGACCAGAUGAGUGGACUGUCUCCAGGGCACAGGACAACCUUGAGGACCUGAGGCCUCCAUCCCUUUGAGGAUGGACCAUGUGAAUUUCCUGACAGAGAACCCGGAUGGGUUUCUGAAAACAUCUCCCAGAGCCUGCAGAGACCUUACAACUAUUUCCAGGCUAGGCUGCAUGGAGGACAUGAGAGGAGCAGCCAGCUGUGGGUGCCACACCACUGAUCAGGGUGCCCAGGAGCAGGAGCUUUCUGAGGAUUCGCAGAGGGGACUCUGGGAGAGGAACAUGGUGGCCACAGCUGGAGUGACUGUGGUGCACAGAGAUGGGAUGGGAGCAGGAAACCCAGAAGAGCGGGCUCCAGAACCAGGUAGGACACCCGCUCCACUUACCUUCUGCCAUGAGUAAAAGCUCCCGAGGUCUCCCACGAAGCAGAUGCCCUGUGCUUCCUGUACAGCCUGCGGAACUGUGAGCCAAUUAAACCCCUUUUCUUUAAAAAUCA